rnacentral:rRNA from 1 species
UACGUAGGUGACAAGCGUUGUCCGGAUUUACUGGGCGUAAAGAGCGCGCAGGCGGUCGUUCAAGUCGAGUGUGAAAGCCCCCGGCUCAACUGGGGAGGGUCAUUCGAUACUGAUCGACUCGAAGGCAGGAGAGGGAAGUGGAAUUCCAGGUGUAGCGGUGAAAUGCGUAGAUAUCUGGAGGAACACCGGUGGCGAAGGCGGCAUCCUGGACCGACAUUGACGCUGAGGCGCGAAAGCCAGGGGAGCAAACGGG